AUACGGAGGGUCCAAGCGUUAUCCGGAAUCAUUGGGUUUAAAGGGUCCGCAGGCGGUCAAUUAAGUCAGAGGUGAAAGCCCAUCGCUCAACGAUGGAACUGCCUUUGAUACUGGUUGACUUGAGUUAUACGGAAGUAGAUAGAAUAAGUAGUGUAGCGGUGAAAUGCAUAGAUAUUACUUAGAAUACCGAUUGCGAAGGCAGUCUACUACGUAUAUACUGACGCUGAGGGACGAAAGCGUGGGGAGCGAACAGGAUUAGAUACCCGAGUAGUCC
rnacentral:rRNA from 1 species